ensembl:miRNA
GGCCGCCAGGGAGGCUGGUUUGGAGGAGUCUGGUGGCCUGUUCUCUUCACCUGCCUCUGCCUGCAG